rnacentral:SRP_RNA from 1 species
CAUUGGCCCCCUCGCAACGAUGAUCCGUGAACCCGGUCAGGCCCGGAAGGGAGCAGCCGCAGCGGUGAUGUCGGGUGCCGAGGUAAGGCUGGUGUGA